rnacentral:snRNA from 1 species
GUGUUCUGGCUUCAGCAGCACAUAUACUAAAAUCGGAGCAACACAGAGAAGACUAGCAUGACCUCUGCACAAGGAGGACACACAAAUUCAUGAAGUAUUCUGUAUUUUU